rnacentral:rRNA from 1 species
AUGCGGAGGGGGCUAGCGUUGUUCGGAAUUACUGGGCGUAAAGCGCACGUAGGCGGCUUUGUAAGUCAGAGGUGAAAGCCUGGAGCUCAACUCCAGAACUGCCUUUGAGACUGCAUCGCUUGAAUCCAGGAGAGGUCAGUGGAAUUCCGAGUGUAGAGGUGAAAUUCGUAGAUAUUCGGAAGAACACCAGUGGCGAAGGCGGCUGACUGGACUGGUAUUGACGCUGAGGUGCGAAAGCGUGGGGAGCAAACAGGAUUAGAAACCCCGGUAGUCC